rnacentral:rRNA from 1 species
AUUGAACGCUGGCGGCAGGCUUAACACAUGCAAGUCGAACGAGUGGCGGACGGGUGAGUAAUGUCUGGGAAACUGCCUGAUGGAGGGGGAUAACUACUGGAAACGGUAGCUAAUACCGCAUAUCAUAAGAUCUGCCCAGAUGGGAUUAGCUUGUUGGUGGGGUAACGGCUCACCAAGGCGACGAUCCCUAGCUGGUCUGAGAGGAUGACCAGCCACACUGGAACUGAGACACGGUCCAGACUCCUACGGGAGGCAGCAGUGGGGAAGAUGGCACAAGGGGCGAAAGCCUGAUGCAGCCAGUCCGCGUGUAUGAAGAAGGCCUUCGGGUUGUAAAGUACUUUCGGCGGGGAGGCGUUACCCGCAGAAGAAGCACCGGCUAACUACGUGCCAGUAGCCGCGGUAAUAC